rnacentral:rRNA from 1 species
ACGGGGUAGUAAGGCGUCGGUACGUGCCCUCGGGACGAGGAUAGCCACGGGAAACUGUGGGUAAUACUCGAUAAUCUCGUGAGAGCAAAGGUGUGACUCCACCUGAGGAGCGGCUGACGUGGUAUUAGGUAGUUGGUAGGGUAAUGGCCUACCAAGCCUGGGAUGCCUAGGGGGUGUGAGAGCAUGGCCCCCACCAUUGGGACUGAGACACUGCCCAGACACCUACGGGUGGCUGCAGUCGAGGAUCUUCGGCAAUGGGCGCAAGCCUGACCGAGCGACGCCGCGUGCGGGAUGAAGGCCUUCGGGUUGUAAACCGCUGUCAGAGGGGAUGAAAUCAUGGUGGGUACUCCCAUCAUGUUGACAGAGCCUCAGAGGAAGCGCGGGCUAAGUUCGUGCCAGCAGCCGCGGUAAUACGAACUGCGCGAACGUUAUUCGGAAUCACUGGGCUUACAGGGUGCGUAGGUGGCAUGGAAAGUAGGGUGUGAAAUGCCUUGGCUCAACCAAGGCACAGCGCUCUAAACUACUUUGCUUGAGUGAGUCAGGGGUGCACGGAACUUCCGGU